rnacentral:tRNA from 1 species
GCAUCGGUGGCUUAGUGGUAGAAUGCUCGCCUGCCACGCGGGCGGCCCCGGGUUCGAUUCCCGGCCGAUGCA